AACGAACGCUGGCGGCAGGCUUAACACAUGCAAGUCGAGCGCCCCGCAAGGGGAGCGGCAGACGGGUGAGUAACGCGUGGGAAUCUACCCAUCUCUACGGAACAACUCCGGGAAACUGGAGCUAAUACCGUAUACGUCCUUCGGGAGAAAGAUUUAUCGGAGAUGGAUGAGCCCGCGUUGGAUUAGCUAGUUGGUGGGGUAAUGGCCUACCGAGGCGACGAUCCAUAGCUGGUCUGAGAGGAUGAUCAGCCACAUUGGGACUGAGACACGGCCCAAACUCCUACGGGAGGCGGCAGUGGGGAAUAUUGGACAAUGGGCGAAAGCCUGAUCCAGCCAUGCCGCGUGAGUGAUGAAGGCCCUAGGGUUGUAAAGCUCUUUCACCGGUGAAGAUAAUGACGGUAACCGGAGAAGAAGCCCCGGCUAACUUCGUGCCAGCAGCCGCGGUAAAAC
rnacentral:rRNA from 1 species